GGGGGGGGGGGUUGAGAUCUCACAAACAUGUUUAACCCCGCCGCAUUUUUGCGCCUGUCCCAAGUCAGGAGCCUCUGGCCUUUGUUAGUCUUGAAUUAUUUUAAUUUUAGUUUCUUGUGUACAAUUUGGAAAUUAGUAUGGCGUUCAUUAUCACUGAACUAGUAUAUAUUUGUUUAGGGGCCAGUUGAAGGACGCCUCCGGGUGCGGGAAUUUCUCGCUACAUUGAAGACCUGUUGGUGACCUUCUGCUGUUGUUU
rnacentral:lncRNA from 1 species